rnacentral:rRNA from 1 species
CAACCUGCCCUUGAGACGGGGAUAACUCCGGGAAACCGGAGCUAAUACCGGAUAACACAUAUCUUCGCAUGAGGAUAUGUUAGAAGGUGGCUUUUAGCUACCACUCAAGGAUGGGCCCGCGGCGCAUUAGCUAGUUGGUGAGGUAACGGCUCACCAAGGCGACGAUGCGUAGCCGACCUGAGAGGGUGAUCGGCCACACUGGGACUGAGACACGGCCCAGACUCCUACGGGAGGCAGCAGUAGGGAAUCUUCCGCAAUGGACGAAAGUCUGACGGAGCAACGCCGCGUGAGUGAUGAAGGUUUUCGGAUCGUAAAGCUCUGUUGUUAGGGAAGAACAAGUAUCUGUUGAAUAAGCAGGUACCUUGACGGUACCUAACCAGAAAGCCACGGCUAACUACGUGCCAGCAGCCGCGGUAAUACGUAGGUGGCAAGCGUUGUCCGGAAUUAUUGGGCGUAAAGCGCGCGCAGGCGGUUCCUUAAGUCUGAUGUGAAAGCCCACGGCUCAACCGUGGAGGGUCAUUGGAAACUGGGGAACUUGAGUGCAGAAGAGGAGAGCGGAAUUCCACGUGUAGCGGUGAAAUGCGUAGAGAUGUGGAGGAACACCAGUGGCGAAGGCGGCUCUCUGGUCUGUAACUGACGCUGAGGCGCGAAAGCGUGGGGAGCGAACAGGAUUAGAUACCCUGGUAGUCCACGCCGUAAACGAUGAGUGCUAAGUGUUAGAGGGUUUCCGCCCUUUAGUGCUGCAGCAAACGCAUUAAGCACUCCGCCUGGGGAGUACGGUCGCAAGACUGAAAC